rnacentral:piRNA from 1 species
UAGAAUGUGACCAAGGCGGCAGUGGA